rnacentral:rRNA from 1 species
CUGGGAUGUGAUGGGGAGCGAAAUUUAGUAGCGAAGUAGCUGAUUUCCCACUGUCAAGAAAAGUCUCUAUCGAGGUUAAAGGUACCCGUACCGCAAACCGACCCAGGUGGGUGAGGAGAGUAUCCUAAGGCCAGCGAGAGAACUGUUGUUAAGGAACUCGGCAAAAUGACCCCGUAACUUAGGGAUAAGGGGUGCCACCAUCAG